rnacentral:lncRNA from 1 species
CUCCUUCUCUCUUUUUUUGUGGUGUGGAACCCAGGGGCUUGCACCUGCCAGACAAGUGCUGUACUACUGAGCCACAGCCUCGCCCUUGCCACCAAAUAUUCUAGUGGAUGGGAUUCAGGGAGCAAGAAAGCCCAGAGGUCUGGCCAAGAGAAGGACUUUUGAACAAGGACUCCAGGCAAACCAUGGAACAAGCCCCAGCUAAGCACUUGGAGGGAAAGUAUUCCAGGCAGAGAAAAUGUGGCAAAAUGCCUGGGGCAGCAGAUUACAAGGAACAGCAAAAAAAGCUACUGUGGCUGGAGUAGAGUGAGCAAGUAGGAAAUGAGUCAGAGAGCUUGGGAGGAUAAGAACCAAAUCUUGUAGAGCCCCACAGAUCAUUGUAACUUUGGCUUGUACUUUGAGAAAGGAGGAAGCCUCUGUUGGUUUUGAGUGGAGGAGUGCUGUUGAGAAUAGACUUCUGGGGACCAGGGCAGAAGUCUGUUGGGCUUUCUUUCAAACAGCUGGGUAAAUGAUGGAAUGGCUUGGCUUGAAUUUGUCAUUUGAAGAGGAUAAGAAAAAGAAAGAUUAAAAAAAAAGAAGAAGAAGAAGAGGAAAAUCAGAGCCAGACAAGGUAGAACACGCCUGUAAUACCAGCUACUUGAGAGCCUGAGGUAGGAGGAAUGCCAAUUCACAACCAGCCUGGGCAAUUUAGCAAAACUCUGUCUCAAAAAAAAAAAAAAAAAAAGCUGGGGAUGUAGCUCAG